rnacentral:rRNA from 1 species
UACAGAGGUCUCAAGCGUUGUUCGGAUUCAUUGGGCGUAAAGGGCGCGUAGGCGGCGCGGUAAGUCGGGUGUGAAAUCUCGGAGCUUAACUCCGAAACUGCAUUCGAUACUGCCGUGCUUGAGGACUGGAGAGGCGACUGGAAUUUACGGUGUAGCGGUGAAAUGCGUAGAGAUGUGGAGGAACACCGGUGGCGAAGGCGGCCCACUGGAUCGGUACUGACGCUGAGGUGCGAAAGCGUGGGGAGCAAACAGG